AGCAAGCCAAAGCGCAAUCAAUAGCCGAUGGUCUUCUCCUCCCUGUGUGUCUUUGG
ensembl:ncRNA F41G4.10 ncRNA